CCUACGGGUGGCUGCAGUGGGGAAUAUUGGGCAAUGGGCGCAAGCCUGACCCAGCAACGCCGCGUGAAGGAAGAAGGCUUUCGGGUUGUAAACUUCUUUUCUGAGGGACGAAGAAAGUGACGGUACCUCAGGAAUAAGCCACGGCUAACUACGUGCCAGCAGCCGCGGUAAUACGUAGGUGGCAAGCGUUAUCCGGAUUUAUUGGGUGUAAAGGGCGUGUAGGCGGGAAAGCAAGUCCGAUGUGAAAACUCAGGGCUCAACCCUGGGACUGUAUUUGAAACUGUUUUUCUUGAGUGUUGGGGAGGUAAUCGGAAUUCCGGGUGUAGGGGUGAAAUGCGUAGAUAUAAGGAGGAACACGAGUGGCGAAGGCGGAUUGCUGGACAGUAACUGACGCUGAGGCGCGAAGGCGUGGGGAGCAAACAGGAUUAGAUACCCUUGUAGUC
rnacentral:rRNA from 1 species